rnacentral:rRNA from 1 species
GACAGAGGAGCCAAGCGUUGUCCGGACUGACUGGGCGUAAAGCGCCCGCAGGCGGCCGUGCACGUGGGGUGUGAAAGCGCUCGGCUUAACUGAGCGAGGCCAUCCCAUACGGCGCGGCUCGAGCCGUCCAGAGGCCGGUGGAAUUGCCGGUGUAGUGGUGAAAUGCGCAGAUAUCGGGAGGAACACCUAUGGCGAAGGCAGCUCGCUGGGACGUUACUGACGCUGAGACGCGAAAGCGUGGGGGGCAAACAGG